GACGAACGCUGGCGGCGUGCUUAACACAUGCAAGUCGAACGGAAAGGCCAGGGCUUGCACCGGUACUCGAGUGGCGAACGGGUGAGUAACACGUGGGUGAUCUGCCUUUCACUCUGGGAUAAGAUUGGGAAACUGGGUCUAAUACCGGAUAUGAACUGCCUUUAGUGUGGGUGUUGUAAAGUUUUUUCGGUUCAAGAUGAGCUCGAGGCCUAUCAGCGUGUUGGUGGGGUAUUGGCCUACCAAGGCGUCGACGGGUCGCCGGCAUGGGAGGGUGUACGGCCACAUUAGGACUGAGAUACGGCCCAGACUCGUACGGGAGGCAGCAGUGGGAAAUCUUGCGGAAUGGCCGGACGCCUGAUGCAACGGCGCCGCGUUGGGGAUGCCGUCCUAUGGGUUAUAAACAACUGUCGACGGGGACGAAGCGUAAGUGACGGUACCUGUAUAAGAAGCCACGGCUAACUACGUG
rnacentral:rRNA from 1 species